ensembl:lncRNA
AGUCAACGUUGAUCGCCUCACAGUUAUUUUUCUUAGCAAACUGGAAUUACUCGCCCAACAAAAGCUGUGGUGCGACAUUGAAUAAUCUCUAUUACACUUUUCCCUUAACAUUGCUAAACAAUAAACAAGAGACGACUUUAAUUAUUUAAGAUUUUUUAUUACGGUUCAUUGUAGUUUCUGACAAAAGUUGAACAAACAAGAAAUCUCCCAGAAUAGAGCUAUGAAUAUUACAUGAAUACAGUUUGUAUGAACAAAAAGACAGUAAAAAGAAGUCAGAAGAAAGAUUUUAUAUUUUUUACUUUUACACAUAUAUAAUAUUAUGUAUAUCAUAAUACAAAUCUAUGCCCAUAUAUUUGUUCAUCAUUGGGAUACUCAGCUCAUGGUGAGCUGCAGUGUAUUCCUUAAAUCUUCCCUGUACAAUAUUUUCUCUGAUACAGUCAUGGAGUGUUAUGUAAUGCUGUAAUAUCAAGUAAAACCUGAAUAUGAAUUUGACAUGCAUUAAUUUAAACACCAAAAAUACAGUGUAAAAUUUAGAACAAAAAUAUCAUUCAAUAAUCAAGAAGUCAUUUGUCAUGCCAGUGAUGGCAGUCAUACAAUCAGGGCUUUUCUAACAGGAGUCAGCGAUGAUACUAUUGCUGGUUUGACAGUAUCCAUGACGACAGUACGAGGAAGGAUGCAGUGAUGAGACUGAUCUUGUGGCUUACUCCACUUGAAACCUCUGUAAUGAAUGAGAAAAGAAAACAUGAUAUUACUUUUACAAAUAAAAAACAUAAAAUGGAAAAAAUAUUUGUGAGAUAUUGUUUAAUAUGUCUCACGUGAGCCAUCCACGAAAAUGGAGUUCAGGUCAACAUUGAAGACUGUGAUGUUUGAAGCUGCUUGAAUCAAAACAUUUCCAAUCUGAGUGCCAUUAGGAACAGAAGCUGAUGCAAAUCCAAUGUCCAUGUUGUUGAUGAUUGAACCAUUACUGCAAAUGAAACAACAAUAUGUAGUAUUAUUUAUUUGGAAUACAUUGAUGAUCAGUGCUCUUAAUAUCUGGUCACAAUAAAAUUAACAAAUUACCUGAAUGAAGUCACUGUUAAGGAGCGGAACGAAGUAAAUGCUCUUUGGUAGAACGGCUCGAGCUGCAGAAAUAGAAGUAAAUUGUUUAAAUGAAAAGAUAUAUAUGUUUUUGGUGUUUAUUGAUAACUUGUGGAUUGUUUAUCUCUCCUAUUUUCUAUGAAUGAAUGUAAAACUGACUGUAAAUAUUUUUUUCUUUGAAAACUCACCAGGAAUAAAAAAAACUUUUUUUCCAUUUACAAUAAAUAAUGUUUCAUCCAUCCAUUACUUACAUUUGACGUUAUCAAUGAGGCUCUUCUUUGAAACGCUGCAGAUGAUGUAUUUAGCAAGUCAGUGAUAAAUGUCUCUCCAGCAGAUCUGAAAGACAGUCGCCUUGUUGUGACCGCCUCAGUUGUUACAGGUGCAGCUGUUGUAGGUGCAGCUGUUGUAGGUGCUGCGGUUGGGAUAAGCGAUUUGUCAAAUACUGACUAGAUUAAUUAUUAAUGACAAGCUGUAUAUUUCAUUGCGUUCAAAAGCAUUACCAUUUUAUGCAGGCAAUAUACUUACAAACUGCACGGACAGACUCUGGAUCAACACCGAGGUCGGAGAGACUGUUGUUAUUCGCAGCGUCUAUCAAGGUCUGUGCUACGUCAGCAGCCUGUGGGAUUUCAGCAUCCGGAGUGAACACAAUGUCGACCACUGCUUCAGUAUUAGACGUUCGUGUUGCCGCCGUAGCUGGUCUGCAUUGUGAAAGAAUAUAAAUUCAGCAAAUUAUAGACGUGAUUUAUAUGCAGGGUGCAGCUGUUGUG